CUCAUCCUAGAUGACUCGUAGCACCUGACAAGUGUUCUGAGUGGUUCCUGCUACUGGUGUAUCACUCUACACUGGGGUCCUGUGCCUCAAAAACAGUGCUUCUUCAAGUAAACAAGACCCCCUUGCAAUGUCCUGUGCUGGGGAUCUCUUUGGCUUUGGCUCUUCAGCUUCAUCUUUCUCUCAGCUGUCUUUUUGCUGGGCUCCACUUCCCUCAGAUCCUUAUCAGUCAGUUCCUUGCGCUCCGAAGCAAGGCAUUCUGUGAAGUUGUUUCCCUUGCAGAUGUGGCUCCGGAUUCUUGGCUUUUCGCUAGAGGUCGCCAAGCUAUUGAAGGCCUCUUUGGAGUCCUCAGCUAUCUUCUCAAGCUCAUGAACUUCAUGUGCAAACUGCUGCAAAGGUUCUUCCAAACCCCAUUCAUGCUGACAGCUGAAGACUCACGAAAAGUCACUACGUGGUACGGGCAGUCUGAGAACAGUGCUCUACGGAAGUAAAAGUUUGCUCUUUCUGACCUGUUGCUCAAGGUACCAAGGAUAACGAACAAGCAGGCGGUGAUCCAGAAGACACUCUCUACCCAUAGACUUGUCUACUUUAUUUAGAAAGAAGUGCAACAGCGUUGGAGACCUUUUGGAGAAGAGGACUUCUAUAAGUUACCUUCUGAAUGUGCUACCCCUGUACUCAAAUUCCGGAGGGCAACAGACAUGAAGAUCCACAUUGGAAGUUGAAUCCAGA